GGUUUCCUACGCAACGUUCAUCGGCGUAGGGUGAGUCGGCCCCUAAGGCGAGGCAGAGAUGCGUAGCUGAUGGGAAACAGGUCAAUAUUCCUGUACCGAUCAAUAGUGCGAUGUGGGGACGGAGAAGGUUAGCUCAGCCGGGUGUUGGAUGUCCCGGUUCAAGCCUGUAGUCGUGCCUGGUAGGCAAAUCCGCCGGGCUUAGAUGAGGGGUGAUAACGAGGAGGCUUGCCUCCGAAGUGAGUGAUACC
rnacentral:rRNA from 1 species